rnacentral:rRNA from 1 species
AGGCAGCAGUGGGGAAUAUUGCACAAUGGGGGGAAACCCUGAUGCAGCCAUGCCGCGUGUGUGAAGAAGGCCUUCGGGUUGUAAAGCACUUUCAGUAGGGAGGAAGGUAGUGUAGUUAACACCUGCAUUAUUUGACGUUACCUACAGAAGAAGCACCGGCUAACUCCGUGCCAGCAGCCGCGGUAAUACGGAGGGUGCGAGCGUUAAUCGGAAUUACUGGGCGUAAAGCGCAUGCAGGCGGCCUGUUAAGUCAGAUGUGAAAGCCCGGGGCUUAACCUCGGAAUUGCAUUUGAAACUGGCAGGCUAGAGUCUUGUAGAGGGGGGUAGGAAUUUCAGGUGUAGCGGUGAAAUGCGUAGAGAUCUGAAGGAAUACCAGUGGCGAAGGCGGCCCCCUGGACAAAGACUGACGCUCAGAUGCGAAAGCGUGGGGAGCAAACAGGAUUAGAUACCCUGGUAG